CUCAGCCACAUGUCCAUCUGACAUGUGUCCAUCUCUAGCAAUUCUAUCUAUUUUCUCCCACCUAAUUCAUUAUUCAAUAUAAAAUUCGUAAUCAAAUGUAAUCAAAUCUGUAUCGCUAUAAUUUAAUUUAGCUGCCGAAUUUGGUGUAAUUUCGGUUUUAAUCAUCUCUAUUCCUAAACAUCAGCGAUUAAUUUUUAAAUACAGGGUUCCAUACCAAUUCUUCGUUUAGACCUUCCUUCAUUUUGAUGUUGUCGAUCCUUAAAUCUCGCCAAUCCCUUAUCUUUCUUCGUUAUUUCCUUUUUUUCAACCCUAAUCUUCUUUGUCCUCUUUAUUAAUGGCUGCGUUUGCAAGGACCCCAGCUUCUCAGAUUAGUGAUAUCGCUAUUUCAAGGUUUGUAAUUUUUCAAGUUCGUAAUAAUCUUCUUGAUAGCAACUAUUUCCUCUUUGACUUUUAAUUCAAAAUUUGAAGCUUUGGAUUUAAUGUUUAGAUUGAAAAAACUGAAUGAUAGUAUGAAUAAGGAAUAAAAAACCAAUGAUAUGUUGUUAAAAUGUGACAAUUUUGAUUAUGCACACUAAGUGCUCGUUGAAAUGCUUGAACAAGACAUAGUCUUAAUCUAAAAUUUUAAGGGAAGUUUGGAUUUUGUGUCAUUCUAUUGGUGAUUCUGGAUCAUAUAGGAAUGGUUCUAAGUCUACUUCAAUCUCAAAUGUUUCUCAUGUUCCCUUUCUUUAUUGCUCGGCCUCCACGACCUCAUCACUCAUGACACUGCCUACUCUUCCAAGUCACCAAACAUUCUGAUUGACAAAGAAAAAAAGGGAACCAGAAGAUUGCAGGUAUUUGUCAUGGAGGGACCUUCAAUUUCUCCUUUCAAGAGUAUACCCACGAGUUGGCUCCUAUAAAAAACUCUUUAAGCUUUAGAGAUAUGAAAAGAUUGGACAAGAACAUCCAACAAUGAAUACCUAGAUGUAAUUGCUGAAUGGUAAUAUAGUGGCACCGAAGAAGGAUGCAUCAUGUGUUCCUGCACGAUUUAUCAAUGUCAAGGGCAAGAUAAACUAUGUUAUAGCCAUGACACCUUCUCUUAUGUCAGGUGUUAAAGUUGAAGGAAAACUUCAUGUGAUUAGUAAAAUAAAUGUCUUGGCAUCUCUUACUUAAAAUUAUAAUGCUAGCUUUUAACAGUUAUGCAUUAAAUUUAUGAGGAUUUGGUUUUAACAACAUUAAUAUACACUUGCACGCCAAAAGAAACAAAAGUAAGAAGAACAAGACAGUAUUCCAUGAUUUUAAAAUUUAAAAUUGGUGAAUUAUGCUUUUUUGUCCAAAUUUUAUGAUGGUUCAUGUAUUAGAUUUUUUAGUGACAAGGUUAUCUUAUUUUGUUUGUUGUGAAUAAUCAUUCGAUGAAAAAACAUUCAGAAUCACUAGGUAAAUAAUGAGGGGUAUGAAAACAUUGAUGGUCUAGAUCUAAUGGAUUUAUUUCCAUUUUUAUAAGAAUAUGCAUAACCAUAUUUUAUAUCCAA